rnacentral:lncRNA from 1 species
AGGCCCUCGAAGGAGCUAAAUAGAGGGACAGAACUCAUCCUCCGGCAGGGGAAUCCGAUCUGCAAGAUUGAAUCUUGGGGUGAGAUUUCAAAGGAGACUAGCUUGGAGUGCAGAAUGAAUUGGAUUUAGCUAACGGUAUCUCAUGAUUUGGGGUCUGGGAUUUAGAGCCAAAGGAGGGAGGAAUAUUGGGACAGGUUGCAGGAAAGAGGAGGAUGGGAGAUGGGUUUAAAUCAAGAAAAGCAACAAUGAGAGUGAGAGCAUAAGAGAUUCUUCCAUAUCUACCGACACGGCUAAAAUCACACAAGGAGAUAAAGACAAGAUUCGUAAGAAAUUUAAAAGAGGAUCCAAGCCGAUGAAGUGUGGGUCAUCGAUUGUCCAUCACCCACCGUGCCGUCAGUCUCGACGCUCGCUGCAAGCAAGCCAAGGUAAGAGGCCGUCGAGCUCAUGAACCUACGCACGUCGCCGAUUCCCCAACCUUCUCUCCGAGCACCUGAGGAAAUCCAAGUGCUUUUGACACAUGCUACAUGUUUGACAAAAUGGCUAAACGAAGAAGGUAUCUAUGAUUUUAGUUUCGAUGGACAUAGAUGUGUUUGAGCUGAUGAGAGAAUGUAGGCUGUUAUCCAAUACCCCGAGAGAGCCGAGGCUAUCAAAGGAUCCAUGUAUAAAGACUAGAGUAGUGACCAAUGAGGUCAUGUGGGCCCUUUGAAAUUAAUUAUGGACCG